rnacentral:sRNA from 1 species
UGGCAGAGUGGCCUUGCUGCC